CAACCUGAGUUAAUUCUCAAGCUCAUCCCAUCACUAACUCAGAACUGGAGUACCCACUUCUCUCAAUCUCUUUAAGCGUUUUUUUCUAAUGGUAUUAUCUUCCUCUCUAUAUGUAGAUUUAUUUUGUGAUGAUCCAUUAUUUUUACUUAUAUUUGAAUCAUAGCUUGAUGGACAGUAUCUUUUUUCGCUAAAGUAUAUUGAAGUCAUUGAUGAAUCGGAGACUAAGAAGCUUGUCCAGCACAAAUAAGAAAACUCAUUUACAGGUAGUUUAUGGUGACUCAGAAUAACACAGGAGGUGUGGUCAUUACGUUACAAUGGUGUUCACUGUUCAAGGCAGAUUGUCUUGUACCACUAUCAUAUGAAUGCUUUCUUGUUCUUGUAUGCUUUGUUCAUGGAUGAUCAGUUAAAGUAUAUGAAAUUAGGUUGGAUGUUUGCAAUGCUGGGACGAAUCCAGGUCAUCAAUGGGGAUUGUGAGGAGUUUAAAAUUGCAGCACAUUUUCAAACUUUUCUUUUCACAUGUAUGAUAUGAUUGUUGAUUGAUGUAUUUUUUCAUGUAAAAUUAUCGAGUUAUGGAUCAAGAAUCCACUACUGUAGUAGUUCUUUUAUAGUAAAAAGUCUUUUGUAUGAAAUUUUUAAUAAUAUGAUUAGGACUAUU